AGUUGACAAUAGCAAUAUCUCGAACAUGCACGUGAAUGUGUGGUUGCGGUGAGAAGCUUGCGUAGACACGGCUUUGAAACUCUCUCUUUUAUUUACUUAGCGUUGCCUAUAAAUACAUGGCCGCUUCAUCAAGACAUCUACAUCUGGAAAGCAAGCCGGUGCUAGGAACGAUCAAAUCACAUAGAAGUGCAUAGAGGUCGUGGCGUUUGCCCAAUUUCAUUCCCACCAUGAGCAAGCCAUGCGACGGUGCCAAUCCCAAGACGGAGUGGCCUGAGCUGGUCGGGCGCACGAUCAAGGAGGCGGAGGAG